CAGACAGAUCUGAGCAGUUCACGGAAGAGAGGAUGAGAGUCUGAGGAAGUCCAGGCUCUGGAUGGCUCGGGAGGCGCCCUAGUCCCGGAAGGAUCGGAGCAGCUCGUCCUCGCCCCUCCUGCUGUCUGCCUGGGGACCAUGGCGCACCGCGCUGCCUGCUGAUCGGCCGGCCGUGGGCGGGACCCGGCUGCUGUCCAUGCCUCGGCGAGGCCGCCGCGACCCCCAGCAGACGGACGGCCCCGAGGCUGGGCGGCCAUCAGAGCCGCGGGCCGG
rnacentral:lncRNA from 1 species